UACGGGGGGAGCAAGCGUUGUUCGGAUUUACUGGGCAUAAAGCGCGCGUAGGCGGCUUGGCAAGUCGGAGGUGAAAGCCUGCAGCUCAACUGCGGUGUGCCUCCGAAACUGCCGAGCUUGAGUGCGGGAGGGGUGAUUGGAACUCCAGGUGUAGCGGUGAAAUGCGUAGAUAUCUGGAGGAACACCAGAGGCGAAGGCGAAUCACUGGACCGCAACUGACGCUGAGGCGCGAAAGCUAGGGGAGCAAACAGG
rnacentral:rRNA from 1 species